GUUUCACUUACACAACGAAUCAUGUGAAUAUUGUACUGGAACUGAUCAAAUAUUUAAAAAUGAAGUAACAUUAACAAGAGAAAUAAUUGUUAUUCGUUUAAUACUAUUUUUAGCACAAGAUGGUAAAUUAAUAAAAGCAGAAAACAAAUUUAAUUUAUGUGCUGUUCUAACAACUAAAGUAUUAAUAGCGGGACAAUUGUACAAGACGAUGAGUGCUAUACUUUAUGAUAGUUCGUGCAUCGAUGAAGGUCAUUAUGUAAGCAUAUGUAGAGAAGGACUAUCUAAUAUUUGGAUCGAAAUAGAUGAUGCAGAAGUAAAAAAGAGACAGUGGCCUAGAGGUGCUAAAGAUGUUUAUAUAAUAUUUUUACAAAAAAUAGCGUGGCCAGUAGACUUGGUCUACGUUGCGAAAUUGUAGGACUCGAUGGUCGAUCAGAACUACCCCCCUGUAUAUAUUGGAUAUCAAUAUAUGACACGAUUAAUCCAGAAAAUAAAAGAUGUUUUAGUAUAACUUUUGGGAAAUUCCCGGAUUGUCUUGUCAAUAAACUGUAUGAGUUUAAUUCGUGGCAUGUAUAUAAACUUCCUUGCUUUAAUAUGGACGAAUGCUUUGAUAUAGUAUCACGAUGUCAGAUGCGAGACGAGUUAAUGCUAAGAGUUGCGGAUUUGACAUACCACUAUAACACUUCUCAGAUUAAGCAGCGUAAUAGGAUUGAUCUACGUAAUACGUAAAAGAGAAUUUAAAAUAAAAAGGCUUCGUUUAAAAAAAACAGGGCAUUUCAUUAGAACAGAAGACGUAAAGUUUGGGGUAGGAAUGAUCGUAACACAUCGUAAUGAGUGCAAUAAUUGCGACGGCGUCAUAAUCAGAUGGGAUCGUCAUACAGACAGAUGUUUUGAAAUUUUUACACCCGAUCUAUAGAUUAUUACGACGGAUGGUCUGCAGUAAAUCAUACAACAGAAAUAGAUUUCUUGCCGUUGAAUCAUUGUCACAAUUAUGAGUUUAUAAAGCGACAAACAAAUUAUAUUAUUCUUACCGAUAAUGAUAAAAUAUGUUACGUGAAUGAAGACAAUCUCACAUUAACAUCGCCAAAAUGGAUCGAUAAUUACGAAAUUGGUCGCUAUUUUUGUAAAUUCGAAAAUACGCAUUACGUACCAAAUGAAAUGCUAACAAAACUUUACCCCGAAGACGUCGCUAUAAUUACACAGAGGACAAAAUAUGUAAAUUAAUAUUAUGAAUAACGUGCAAUAUUUAGGAG